rnacentral:rRNA from 1 species
GGUCAAGUGAAGAAGCGCAUACGGUGGAUGCCUUGGCAGUCAGAGGCGAUGAAAGACGUGGUAGCCUGCGAUAAGCUUUGGGGAGUCGGCAAACAGACUGUGAUCCAGAGAUCUCUGAAUGGGGGAACCCACUCAGCAUAAGCUGAGUAUCUUGUACUGAAUACAUAGGUGCAAGAGGCGAACCAGGGGAACUGAAACAUCUAAGUACCCUGAGGAAAAGAAAUCAACCGAGAUUCCCUUAGUAGUGGCGAGCGAACGGGGACCAGCCCUUAAGUUGAUUUGAGAUUAGUGGAACGCUCUGGAAAGUGCGGCCAUAGUGGGUGAUAGCCCCGUACACGAAAAUCUCUUGUCAAUGAAAUCGAGUAGGACGGAGCACGAGAAACUUUGUCUGAAUAUGGGGGGACCAUCCUCCAAGGCUAAAUACUACUGACUGACCGAUAGUGAACCAGUACCGUGAGGGAAAGGCGAAAAGAACCCCGGAGAGGGGAGUGAAAUAGAACCUGAAACCGUAUGCGUACAAGCAGUGGGAGCCUACUUUGUUAGGUGACUGCGUACCUUUUGUAUAAUGGGUCAGCGACUUAUAUUCAGUGGCGAGCUUAACCGAAUAGGGGAGGCGUAGCGAAAGCGAGUCUUAAUAGGGCGUUUAGUCGCUGGGUAUAGACCCGAAACCGGGCGAUCUAUCCAUGGGCAGGUUGAAGGUUAGGUAACACUGACUGGAGGACCGAACCGACUACCGUUGAAAAGUUAGCGGAUGACCUGUGGAUCGGAGUGAAAGGCUAAUCAAGCUCGGAGAUAGCUGGUUCUCCUCGAAAGCUAUUUAGGUAGCGCCUCAUGUAUCACUCCAGGGGGUAGAGCACUGUUUCGGCUAGGGGGUCAUCCCGACUUACCAAACCGAUGCAAACUCCGAAUACCUGGAAGUGCCGAGCAUGGGAGACACACGGCGGGUGCUAACGUCCGUCGUGAAAAGGGAAACAACCCAGACCGUCAGCUAAGGUCCCAAAGUCAUGGUUAAGUGGGAAACGAUGUGGGAAGGCUUAGACAGCUAGGAGGUUGGCUUAGAAGCAGCCACCCUUUAAAGAAAGCGUAAUAGCUCACUAGUCGAGUCGGCCUGCGCGGAAGAUGUAACGGGGCUCAAACCAUGCACCGAAGCUACGGGUGUCAUCUUUGAUGACGCGGUAGAGGAGCGUUCUGUAAGCCUGUGAAGGUGAGUUGAGAAGCUUGCUGGAGGUAUCAGAAGUGCGAAUGCUGACAUGAGUAACGACAAUGCGAGUGAAAAACUCGCACGCCGAAAGACCAAGGUUUCCUGCGCAACGUUAAUCGACGCAGGGUUAGUCGGUCCCUAAGGCGAGGCUGAAAAGCGUAGUCGAUGGAAAACAGGUUAAUAUUCCUGUACUUCCAGUUAUUGCGAUGGAGGGACGGAGAAGGUUAGGCCAGCCUGGCGUUGGUUGUCCAGGUUUAAGGUGGUAGGCUGAAAUCUUAGGCAAAUCCGGGAUUUCAAGGCCGAGAGCUGAUGACGAGUUGCC